UUUCCUACGGGUGGCUGCAGUGGGGAAUUUUGGACAAUGGGCGCAAGCCUGAUCCAGCCAUGCCGCGUGCGGGAAGAAGGCCUUCGGGUUGUAAACCGCUUUUGUCAGGGAAGAAAAGCUCUGGGCUAAUACCUCGGAGUGAUGACGGUACCUGAAGAAUAAGCACCGGCUAACUACGUGCCAGCAGCCGCGGUAAUACGUAGGGUGCAAGCGUUAAUCGGAAUUACUGGGCGUAAAGCGUGCGCAGGCGGUUGUGCAAGCCAGAUGUGAAAUCCCCGGGCUCAACCUGGGAACUGCAUUUGUGACUGCACGGCUGGAGUGCGGCAGAGGGGGAUGGAAUUCCGGGUGUAGCAGUGAAAUGCGUAGAUAUGCGGAGGAACACCGAUGGCGAAGGCAAUCCCCUGGGCCUGCACUGACGCUCAUGCACGAAAGCGUGGGGAGCAAACAGGAUUAGAUACCCUAGUAGUCC
rnacentral:rRNA from 1 species